AGCAGCCGCGGUAAUUCCAGCUCCAAUAGCGUAUAUUAAAGUUGCUGCAGUUAAAAAGCUCGUAGUUGAAUUUCGGGACCGAUAUGUCGGUCGUGCCUCGGUACGUACUGGUAUUUUCGGUUUCUCCCUUCUGACGAACCUUGAUGUCAUUAAUUUGGUGUCUUGGGGAAUCAGGACUGUUACUUUGAAAAAAUUAGAGUGUUUAAAGCAGGCUCACGCUUGUAUACAUUAGCAUGGAAUAAUGAAAUAGGACGUUUGAUUCUAUUUUGUUGGUUUCUAGGAUCGACGUAAUGAUUAAUAGGGAUAGUUGGGGGCAUUAGUAUUCAAUUGUCAGAGGUGAAAUUCUUGGAUUUAUUGAAGACUAACUACUGCGAAAGCAUUUGCCAAGGAUGUUUUCAUUAAUCAAGAACGAAAGUUAGGGGAUCGAAGACGAUCAGAUACCGUCGUAGUCUUAACCAUAAACUAUGCCGACUAGGGAUCGGAUGAUGUUAAUUUUUAAUGACUCAUUCGGCGCCUUACG
rnacentral:rRNA from 1 species